rnacentral:rRNA from 1 species
UGCAAGUCGAACGAUGAAGCCCUUCGGGGUGGAUUAGUGGCGAACGGGUGAGUAACACGUGGGCAAUCUGCCCUGCACUCUGGGACAAGCCCUGGAAACGGGGUCUAAUACCGGAUAACACCCUCGCAGGCAUCUGCGAGGGUUAAAAGCUCCGGCGGUGCAGGAUGAGCCCGCGGCCUAUCAGCUUGUUGGUGAGGUAACGGCUCACCAAGGCGACGACGGGUAGCCGGCCUGAGAGGGCGACCGGCCACACUGGGACUGAGACACGGCCCAGACUCCUACGGGAGGCAGCAGUGGGGAAUAUUGCACAAUGGGCGAAAGCCUGAUGCAGCGACGCCGCGUGAGGGAUGACGGCCUUCGGGUUGUAAACCUCUUUCAGCAGGGAAGAAGCGAAAGUGACGGUACCUGCAGAAGAAGCGCCGGCUAACUACGUGCCAGCAGCCGCGGUAAUACGUAGGGCGCAAGCGUUGUCCGGAAUUAUUGGGCGUAAAGAGCUCGUAGGCGGCUUGUCACGUCGAUUGUGAAAGCCCGAGGCUUAACCUCGGGUCUGCAGUCGAUACGGGCUAGCUAGAGUGUGGUAGGGGAGAUCGGAAUUCCUGGUGUAGCGGUGAAAUGCGCAGAUAUCAGGAGGAACACCGGUGGCGAAGGCGGAUCUCUGGGCCAUUACUGACGCUGAGGAGCGAAAGCGUGGGGAGCGAACAGGAUUAGAUACCCUGGUAGUCCACGCCGUAAAC